rnacentral:rRNA from 1 species
AUUGAACGCUGGCGGCAGGCCUAACACAUGCAAGUCGAGCGAGUGGCGGACGGGUGAGUAAUGUUUGGGGCUCUGCCCGAUAGUGGGGGAUAACUACUGGAAACUGUGGCUAAUACCGCAUACUAUCGUAUGAACCCAUGUGGGAUUAGCUAGUAGGUGGGGUAAAGGCUCACCUAGGCGACGAUCUCUAGCUGGUCUGAGAGGAUGAUCAGCCACACUGGAAAUGAGACACGGCCCAGACUCCUACGGAAGGCAGCAGUGGGGAAUAUUGCACAAUGGGCGCAAGCCUGAUGCAGCCAUGCCGCGUGUAUGAAGAAGGCCUUGGGGUUGUAAAGUACUUUCAGCGGGGAGGCGUUACCCGAAGAAGAAGCACCGGCUAACUCCGUGCCAGCAGCCGCGGUAAUUC